CCUACGGGAGGCAGCAGUGGGGAAUAUUGCACAAUGGGGGAAACCCUGAUCCAGCGAAGCAGCGUGCGUGAUGAAGUCUCUCGGUAUGUUAAGCUCUAUUAGCAGGGAAGAAAAUGACGGUACCUGAUUAAGACUCCACGGCUCACUACGUGCCAGCAGCCGCGGUACUACGUAGGCGGCAAGCGUUAUCCGGAUUUACUGGGGGUAAAGGGAGCGUAGACGGCAGCACAAGGCUGGAGGGAAAUGCCGGGGCUUAAACCCGGAACUGCUGUGGAAACUGUGCAGCUAGAGUGCAGGAGAGGUAGGUGGAAUUCGUGGUGUAGCGGUGAAAUGCGUAGAUAUUAGGAGGAACACCGGUUGCGAAGGCAGCUUACUGGACUGUGACUGACGUUGAGGCUCGAAAGCGUGGGUAUCAAACAGGAUUAGAUACCCCAGUAGUC
rnacentral:rRNA from 1 species